rnacentral:rRNA from 1 species
AUUGAACGCUGGCGGCAGGCCUAACACAUGCAAGUCGAACGGUAACAGGAAGAAGCUUGCUUCUUUGCUGUCGCGUGGCGGACGGGUGUGUCAUGUCUGGGAAACUGCCUGAUGGAUGGGGAUAACUACUGGAAACGGUAGCUAAUACCGCAUAACGUCUCAAGACCAAAGAGGGGGACCUUCGGGCCUCUUGCCAUCGGCUGUGCCCAGAUGGGAUUAGCUAGUAGGUGGGGUAACGGCUCACCUAGGCCACGAUCCAUAGCUGGUCUGAGAGGAUGACCGGCCACACUGGAACUGAGACACGGUCCAGACUCCUACGGGAGGCAGCAGUGGGGAAUAUUGCACAAUGGGCGCAAGCCUGAUGCAGCCAUGCCGCGUGUAUGAAGAAGGUCUUCGGGUUGUAAAGUACUUUCAGCGGGGAGGAAGGGAGUAAAGUUAAUACCUUUGCUCAUUGACGGUACCCACAGAAGAAGCACCGGCUAACUCCGUG